rnacentral:misc_RNA from 1 species
UGGAGGAACAGUAUAAGAAUUAUGACUUUGUAAAAUCUUAAAGGGUUUUAAAGUUUAGUGUUCUUAGAGGCAUUUUAUUGACAAGAUAUGUUGUAGCAAGAACUGCAUCCCUGCAAUUAGGUGUGGGAAGAUUCAUAGUAAAUAUAAGAUAUCAAGUUAUCUCCAAUAAAUGUCUACUUUUUAUCUCCAAUAAAUGUCUAUUUUUUCCUUUCGACUCCCUUUUUGUUCAUUAGUAUUGACACAGCUAGUUUGAUGGACUAUACCAUUAUCAGUUCUUAAGAUUUUA